CGGGGCCCCGGGCUGGCAGCGGUGCUCACUGCGCAGCCCGCCAGACCCCGCGCCGGAACAUCGCCUGCGUGAAGUUCCCCAGCGCUGGCAAGAAGUGGCGCAGCAGCAAAGCCAAGGGUGGAUGCCACAAUCCCCACACACAAAGGAAGACCAGAGGGGUUGGCUGGAGUCACGGCCACAACCAGCGUGGGAUGGCAUUGGUGGAUAUGGAUGGAAUUGAUGGAAUCAGUGGAAAGCAAUGGCAUUGUCUUCUAUGAAAUACUCAUGGAGAAGCCACCACACGUCUUCCAGGCUGUUGUCUCAUGUGUGCUGUUCCUUACUUAGCAGAGCAAUUAAAUUAAAUAUUUUAUAAGCUGAAAAAAACCAAAUGUGGGUCACAGCGUAAUGUAUAGCAUCAGCACAUGCAGUAUCUCUUGAAUCAGUGGUUGGGUUUAUUGGCUUUACAAGCAGUGAGUUCCCCCUUGUGCAGGGCUGGCAGUGCUGGAACCCUCCUGCUUCCUUCAGCAGCUGCAGCUGGAGGGAAGGGUGCACUACAGCUCCAGAAAUUUGAUUUUCCUGCAUAGAUCAAAUUACACAAAUAGGAUGGAGCCAGAUGAAGGAGAAUUUGCAAACUGCACGGUAUUCCCCAACGGUGUCAUCUUGCAGUAGGCAGAGAGCAAAUGCUGUCUCCUGGUAGAUUGCCCAGGGGGGCAGCAAACCCUGUCAUACUGAAAUAGAUGAGAUGAUACUUGGUGUGACAUUUAAAUGCAAAGUUGCAGGGAGACAGCAAAUGAUUAAGCUUUUGAAAGCAUCAUCUAUAUUUAUUGCUUUGGUUUGUGGUGUUUAUUUGUAGAUAAGCUCAUCUGCUUGUGUUUUUUAAUGUAAUUUCUAGGGCAUGUCAAAGCUCUUUGCCUAAAAUGUGGCACGUAGGGGAAAGCUGCAUGGAGAAGUUGCACCCAGGAGUAGUGAGUUAAGGCAGCUUUCUACUUCAGGCAGGCCAUAAAGCAGUUUUUGUUAAAAAAUAAUUUAAAAAAUUUGUCUUCUCUGAAGUUUGCAAACCCAAAGUACUUCAGGGCAGGUGAUAUGCAGCGGCCUGUAAAGAGGCAGCAGAGUUGCACUGCAGAAGUAAUACUGAAGGGAGCAUCAGAAAAAUCAAAGUAUUGGUUUUCUACUGCUAAUGUAAAUUCCACUCAGAAACAAAAUGUUUAGAUAGGAGUGUCUUGGAGACCUCUGGGUUUUCUUCCUAGUGAAAGUAGUUCCUGCUGACUAAGUGCAGAUAAGGCAAAAAUAAUCAUGGUCCUAAAGAAAUGGGUGCUGUGGCACAGAGGUGGAAGGAAAGUCUCUCACCUGAGCCACGCAUGCCAACA